rnacentral:rRNA from 1 species
UACAGAGGGUGCGAGCGUUAAUCGGAAUUACUGGGCGUAAAGCGCACGUAGGUGGCGACGUAAGUCGGGUGUGAAAGCCCCGGGCUCAACCUGGGAAUUGCAUUCGAGACUGCAUUGCUGGAGUACGGAAGAGGAAGGCGGAAUUCCCGGUGUAGCGGUGAAAUGCGUAGAUAUCGGGAGGAACAUCAGUGGCGAAGGCGGCCUUCUGGUCCAGUACUGACACUCAAGUGCGAAAGCGUGGGGAGCGAACGGG